CUACAUCCAAUUAAGCUAAGUUCCUUUCCUUAUGAAUCCUGCUGUGCAGUGGCUGCAAACAGUAUCCUACUUGGGAGGUUGCGAAUAUGGGUUUCUCUAGGAGAACUUGGAGACGGAA
ensembl:snoRNA LOC120099444 small nucleolar RNA SNORA70